rnacentral:rRNA from 1 species
AACGAACGCUGGCGGCAUGCCUAACACAUGCAAGUCGAACGAGACCUUCGGGUCUAGUGGCGCACGGGUGCGUAACGCGUGGGAACCUGCCCUUAGGUUCGGAAUAACUCCCCGAAAGGGGUGCUAAUACCGGAUAAUGUCUUCGGACCAAAGAUUUAUCGGCUUUGGAUGGGCCCGCGUUGGAUUAGCUAGUUGGUAGGGUAAAAGCCUACCAAGGCGACGAUCCAUAGCUGGUCUGAGAGGAUGAUCAGCCACACUGGGACUGAGACACGGCCCAGACUCGUACGGGAGGCAGCAGUGGGGAAUAUUGGAAAAUGGGCGAAAGCCUGAUCCAGCAAUGCCGCGUGAGUGAUGAAGGCCUUAGGGUUGUAAAGCUCUUUUACCCGGGAUGAUAAUGACAGUACCGGGAGAAUAAGCGCCGGCUAACUCCGUG